UCGGGUAACCGGUAGCUAAUACCGGAUUAAUAUUUUUGAACCUGCAUGGUUUCAAAAAGUGAAAGACCGUCGUGACUGUCACUUGAUAGAUGGAUCCGCGCUGCAUUAGCUAGUUGGUAAGGUACGGCUUUACCAAGGCAACGAUGCAUAGCCGACCUGAGAGGGUGAUCGGCCACACUGGAACUGAGACACGGUCCAGACUCCUACGGGAGGCAGCAGUAGGGAAUCUUCCGCAAUGGGCGAAAGCCUGACGGAGCAACGCCGCGUGAGUGAUGAAGGUCUUCGGAUCGUAAAACUCUGUUAUUAGGGAAGAACAUAUGUGUAAGUAACUGUGCACAUCUUGACGGUACCUAAUCAGAAAGCCACGGCUAACUACGUGCCAGCAGCCGCGGUAAUACGUAGGUGGCAAGCGUUAUCCGGAAUUAUUGGGCGUAAAGCGCGCGUAGGCGGUUUUUUAAGUCUGAUGUGAAAGCCCACGGCUCAACCGUGGAGGGUCAUUGGAAACUGGAAAACUUGAGUGCAGAAGAGGAAAGUGGAAUUCCAUGUGUAGCGGUGAAAUGCGCAGAGAUAUGGAGGAACACCAGUGGCGAAGGCGACUUUCUGGUCUGUAACUGACGCUGAUGUGCGAAAGCGUGGGGAUCAAACAGGAUUAGAUACCCCUGGUAGUCCACGCCGUAAACGAUGAGUGCUGAGUGUUAGGGGGUUUCCGCCCCUUAGUGCUGCAGCUAACGCAUUAAGCACUCCGCCUGGGGAGUACGACCGCAAGGUUG
rnacentral:rRNA from 1 species